CGCCGCCCGACGACACGCGCUUCGGGCCCGUGCAGCGCCCGCCCCACCCGCACCCGCACCCACACCCCCACCCCCGACCCGUCUAGACAUCGCCGAAUCCCACCGAAACCGAACCACAAACCGACGAGCACAACACAAAAUCCAAAAUCUUCCAAACGACACAUUAUUCAAAAAUAUGUAUCUAUGAUUUAAAUACUGCAAGAUAUACGAUUCACACAAAACAGCUAAAAUCAAUAUAAACUAUACUGAGUCAAGCAGAUCUUGUCAGUAGAAAAAGGCGGCAAAUUUGAAAAAUGUAGGCGCGAAAGGAUAUCAUCCCAUAGAAAAUUUGAAUCUCGCGCCUUUUUCUACUGACAAGAUUUGCUUGACCAUCUAUAUUUAGGAGCUCUAGAAGGACGCGCAUUUGAAAAACAAUUGAUAUACAUAUACCGUUAACACAAUAUGGAACGUAACUGGCUAACACUAAAGUGGGCCCACGGAUAACCAGUUCGCAGGACGAUAUCGACCUGUCAGUUGUUCGGAGCUGUCAAAUUUUGCGUUUAACUGACAGGCUGAUAUCGUCCGGCAAACUGGCAACCAGUUGGGCCCCUUAAAGCUCAAAUUCCUUGCAUAUCCAGUAAAACUCGCCCCUAUAGGCGUUUGGUGUGAAUGGUGUAAAAAAAUAUUAACAUAAAGACAUUACUUUAUAAAAAUAUUGACAUAAAAACAUUACUUUAUUUCAUGAUUGUGACAUGAAUAUUUAAUAUCGGAUAUGACAUUUUAAGAUCACAGAUUGACACGAGAUACCAUUCGUCCUACGUCCCAGUAGGACCCUAAUUUAAAGCACUUACAAAACUUAGGGCGAGAUGCCCCUCAAAUAAUUAACGUUAGCCGGUCAGAUCGUUAAUACUCUAUACAUCUAGCGCGACUUCAAGUAUGGACUCGCGCGCGCAUGGUUACAGCCGGCCUAGCCAAGGUGACAAUCGCUAUAUAUCGCUACGAUAACGAAACGCUUCGUGUCUCUAUCACUCUUCCACAGCGGUCGGUAACAAGCGGCCCGCGAGCCUCCCUGGCUAUUUUGUAUGUAAUAUUGAUAAACGUCAAUGUCUGAUAAAGUCAUAAAUAUUAACAGUGCGGCCCGCGUCAACUUCGUUAACUACUAUGUGGCCCUUGGCUGCUAAAAGGUUGCCGACCGCUGCUCGUCCAUAUUAGUGCGACAGUGACGGUUGCGUUUCGAUCGCUACGGAGCGUAAGCGAUUGACAUGUUGGCUACGCGGCCUGGUAUGAUUAUCGUUAAAUAUGGCGGCAAAGCAGCCGUCAGUCCAUAGAAAACUGUCAAACUAUUCAUACAAAUUGAAACGUAGAAAGAUUGGUGUAACUUUAGUAUACGAUAUUGACUUAUGAAGCACGGAAAAUGUAAAACAUCUGAAGAUUUAAAGUUUUGUGCCUUACAACACGAAUGCAUCACGCUUUGAUAAUUCGUUUACAACGAUGUUCGCGAUGUAUUGCUAUAGUACGUCGACUCGAUAUAGCGCAUAGCCUAGCUAGACUAUAACAUUAUAUGUGACGUUCCACGACAAAAGGUAUGUUAUGGCGGCUGGCGUUUACGUCGCAUAGCGCCGCAAUAAUAUUGGAGCGGCGUUAAUAAUAGCGUAAGCGCCAACCGCCAUAAGGUACCUUUACCCGUACGACGUCACAUAUGUGAACGAUUCUUGUUAUGUCAAUUAAUCAACUUUUUUAUUGACAUUUGACACUCGUUGCCACGGUUACCAUCUCCUGGACAACUCUUAAAACCCUGAUAUAUGACGCCUCUGUAACAAAACCACCGGUGGUGGGUCGUAGGUAAUUCGCCAGUAACUGAUCGCCCUAACCUAAAAAUGAAUUCUAUUUACCUACAAACAGAAUUCAUUUUAGCUUAAGGGCCCCCCACAUCUAGCGUCUUUCGAGCGUCGGCGUCUGGUCAGCGCUAUGGAAAAUGACGUCGCUGCGCAGUUGCGUCGACGUUGCGUCGAGCGUGGCCAUACAGUUGUAGACGCCGACGCUCGAAAGAUGCUAGAUGUGGGGGGGCCCUAAGGCCUCAAUAACUGGCCAGCUUUCAAUAUCUGGCCACCUUAUGCUAAAAUGAAUUCUGUUUAUAGGCGAAUAGAAUUAAUUUUUAGUUUAGGGCGGCCAGUUAAUUUUGCCUGCGUGACAGCGCAACGUGAUAAGUGAUACUUGUUUAAUCACGUGGAUAUAUCCAUCCAUAAUAAGUCUUCUGUAAAGAUUUGAUUGACACUUUUAUCAUCAAUCGUGUCAUACUUUUCCAAUGUAUUUCGAUUAUUCAUUAUGUUGAUUUUGUGAAUGAAUAAUCCAACAUCUUGUCAAAGAAAGAGACAAUAUGUUAUCAAUGUGUCUCAAGGACUUAACGCAUGUAAUAAAUCUACCGCAUGGCGCGUAAUUAUAAUUACUUGAUUACAUAUUAGCAAUAAAGGCAAUUUAUAAGUCUGAUUGUAAUUUUCACAGACCGAUAAGACUUAGAGCUGUAAUUAAAAGACUUAAAAUAUCUACGCCUAUUUGACAAAACCCUGAAAUGCUAACCUUAGAACCUGUGUAUAGUUUUUAUCCUUUUGGAUGACAAGAACGCGAAAGGGUUAAACCAAUUGAUAUUUCGAGGAUUUGAAUCAAAAUAUCAGUAUCUCCUUUUUAUGUUGAAUCAACCUUGAGUACAGGUUUUUAAACGAUCGCCUGUAACCGUUGCAAGCCUCCGUAUGCUACGAUAUCCGCUCACCAGGCUGUUUACCACGUGGUAUAAUUGGCAGCUCCAAGUCUUAUCCCUGUACUGAGCCUUUGGCUCUCGACCCCAAAACUGACGUAUGACGAAGUUUGUAUGGAACUAAUAAGAGUAUUAUAACCGACCGCAGGUUGUAUGUAAACGAUAAGUGAAAUGUAUAUUAUAGAUGAA